rnacentral:misc_RNA from 1 species
UCUCCGUAGGUGAACCUGCGGAGGGAUCAUUACAUAGUUCAUGCCCUCCGGGUAGAGCUCCCACCCGUUGCUAUAACUACCCUCGUUCCUGUUGCGGGCCGUUGGGCCCUGCCCGGCCGCCGGCCCCGGCUCGCUCUUGGCCGCCAGAGACCUCACAACCUCUGGAUGUUAGUGUCCUCCGAGUAACUAUACAAUCGUUAAAACUUUCAACAACGGAUCUCUUGGUUCUG